AGGCUCCAGAGUUUGUCAUCGCUGUUAUUCGUGUUACUGGGGCUCAUCUGAGAAUUGGAGCACAAUUAUACUAUACACACUUAUACAAUAACAACACAAGACACUGUCAUACAAGGGUUUGGAGCACCGGAGUGGCGUGAAAGCGGUAUUUACGACAGUUGUAACUUGUAAGAUGCUCUUACGAAUAUUGGUACCCCAUCACUGUCUAGGUCGGUAGAUUCAAAUCCAGCAUUAGAUGUUAAGUUACCAGAGAUCACGUUACCCAAGUUCAACGGUGAUUAUUUUGAGUGGACCCAAUUUAUUAGAUCUUUAUAACUUCUAAAUUCACAAUAACACAAAGUUGCUGGAAGUCCAAAAGUUGCACUCUCUAAACGGAGCUCUACUAUCGUUUGCUGCAAAACUAAUAUCAUCUUUAAGCUUAAUGAAUGAGUAUUACACUAUGGCCUAUGAGCUGCUGUGUAAGACUUAUGACAAUAAAUUUUUAAUACUGAAUUCCGAUUUGCAGCAGAUUGACAACAUACCCCAGAUACACACAGGAACACAUGAAACUCAGAGCACUUUUCUGUGCAGUGCGAGGCUACAAAUAUGUGCUCUUUCAGCUGUAUAUGAACCAACUAAACAUUAGGAUCUUAUUCUGUUGUAUAUGCUGAACAAGAAAGUUGACAGCCAUACUCGCAUGGCAUGGAAUUUGUCCAGGACAAAACAACUUAUACGUCCAGGACAUUAUACAAUAGAUAAUUCAUAAGCAGAUCGGCCAAAUCUGAGAUAAGUAU